rnacentral:rRNA from 1 species
UACGUAGGAUCCGAGCGCUGUCCGGAAUUACUGGGUGUAAAGGGCGUGUAGGUGGGUCUCUAAGUCGAUGGUGAAAUCCUGCAGCUUAACUGUAGAAUUGCCUUCGAUACUGGAGAUCUUGAGUGCGGCAGAGGGAGAUGGAAUUCAUGGUGUAGCGGUGAAAUGUGUAGAUAUCAUGAAGAACACCGGUAGCGAAGGCGGUCUCCUGGUCCGUAACUGACACUGAGGCGAGAAAGCGUGGGGAGCGAACAGG